AUGCUUUGUAGUCCAUAAGCGUGAUGAUUGGCUUCUCACAGUCACGUGAGAUACGCUGCCCUCAAACCUUGUUACACCAUAAGCACAUUACCUGGCUGACA
ensembl:snoRNA